rnacentral:tRNA from 1 species
GCCGAGGUUGCAGAGAGGUCAAAUGCGGCGGGCUCAAGAUCCGUUCCCUAAGGGUUCGUGGGUUCAAAUCCCACCCUCGGCA